UACGUAGGUGGCAAGCGUUGUCCGGAAUUAUUGGGCGUAAAGCGCGCGCAGGCGGCCUCUUAAGUCUGAUGUGAAAGCCCCCGGCUCAACCGGGGAGGGCCAUUGGAAACUACGAGUCUUGAGGACCGGAGAGGAAAGUGGAAUUCCCAGUGUAGCGGUGGAAUGCGUAGAUAUUGGGAAGAACACCAGUGGCGAAGGCGACUUUCUGGUCUGUAACUGACGCUGAGGCGCGAAAGCGUGGGGAGCAAACAGG
rnacentral:misc_RNA from 1 species